rnacentral:lncRNA from 1 species
CUCCCUCUCUCUCUCUCUCUCUGUCUCUCUCUCUCUCUCACUCUCUCGCUCUCUCUCUUGCUCUGUUCCCCCCACUCUCCGUCUUUCUCCCUCUCUCUCUCACUCUCUCUCUCUCUUUCUUUAACCCUCUCUCUUCUCUCUCUCUCUCUCUCUCUCACUCUCUCGCUCUCUCUCUUGCUCUGUUCCCCCCACUCUCUGUCUUUCUCUCUCUCCAUCACCCUCUCGCUCUCUCCGUCUCUCAUCCCUCCUUUGAUGUGUUAUCCGGGGCUCUUGUCUGAGGAGAGAGAGAAAAGAGAGUGAAAGACAGAAAGAGAGGGAGAAAAGGGGAGGGGGUCCUGAGAGAUUUUUAACAUGAAUUUCUCUUUCAGCACUAAGCUCGUAGUGCAGUAUCCACCCCCUCAGAAGAGCAGUCUGGCUUUUUAACAUCUCUCUCUCUCUCUCUCUCUCUCUCUCUCUCUCUCUCUCUCUCUCUCUGUCUCUCUCUCUCUCUCUCUCUCUCUCUCUCUCUCUCUCUCUCUCUCUCUCUCUCUCUCUCUCUCUCUGUCUCUCUCUCGCCCUCUCUCUCUCUCUCUCUCUCUCUCUCUCUGUCUCUCUCUCUCUCUCUCUCUCUCUCUCUCUCUCUCUCGCCCUCUCUCUCUCUCUCUCUCUCUGAGUAGUCUGGCUUUAUAACAUCCCUCUCUCUCUCUCUCUCUCUCUCUCACUCUCUCUCUCUCUCUCUCUCUCUCUCUCUCUCUGUCUCUCUCUCUCUCUCUCUCUCUCUCUCUCGCCCUCUCUCUCUCUCUCUCUCUCUCUCUCUCUCUCUCUCUCUCUCUCUCUCUCUCUCUCUCUCUCGCCCUCUCUCUCUCUCUCUCUCUCUCUGAGUAGUCUGGCUUUAUAACAUCCCUCUCUCUCUCUCUCUCUCUCUCACUCUCUCUCUCUCUCUCUCUCUCUCUCUCGCUCUCACUCUCACUCUCACUCUCACUCUCGUCCCCAGGUGGGACGGUAGCCUUUCUCUCUCUUUUAACAUCUCUCUCUGGCUACAAAUC